rnacentral:snRNA from 1 species
GGCUUUGUGCAGUGGCAGUAUUGUGGCCAAUGAAAUUUAUCCAAGGCACUAUUAUUUCUAAUUGAAAACUUUUCCUAAUACCCCGCCAUGACAAACUUGAAAUAUAGUUGGCAUUGGCAAUCUUUAACAAUCUCUAUGGAGA